rnacentral:ribozyme from 1 species
UGCCCAGCAACUCCUAUCCCUACCUCCUCGUGGUACCGGCCGGAAACUAUGAGCAACCUUAGGGA